GUGGACAAAUUAUAUCAUGUGCUUAUUCUACCGUACUGCACUAUAAUAAUUCACUAAGUUCAACCUUUCAACGAUAUUGAUGACAUAUUUUGAGAAGAACUAAGUGGGCCGAAAUAUUAAAACAAAAUUUAAAAAUCAAAAUGUGUUGUAAAAGUUUGAAGGUGGAGCCCACAGAGGAAGUUUCCUUGCAUCUUCCAGGAACUUUCCUUCCCUGUAUUUUACCAAAACCUUAGCCUAUAAAUAGAUACCUCCCCCUACUUGUAAAAUAUACACUGAAGACAUUCAUCAGAACAUAUGAAUGAGAAAAUCAGUCUCUCCUCUCUAUUCCAAUUCUCUACUUUUUCUCUCCACAUUUACAACACGAUAUCAGCACGAGUCUUUAACCGGCUGAAAUCUCUGAUUUCUUGAUCCCAGAAAUUGAUCAAGACACCCAGUUCGAAACCAAGCCCAGAUUGCCCACCCAAAACCAACCCAGUUUUGUACAGAGCCACACGGAUUGCUUGCCAGUAAAAUUUCACACAAAACCUCCGAUCUAGAGAACCAAUUCUCUGCUCCGAGCCCAACAACUUCCAUUCGGUGUUGUCCAACCAACCUCAGCAUCUCCAUUUUUCUCAAAAAUUGCCAUUUUCUCAACCAAAGUCUCUCUCUUGGAUUUCCUUUCUGGGUUCUCUGUUUUCUAUAUGCAAAAGCAUACCAGAACCGAACCCGAAGAAAAUUACUCUCCCAGAUAACCCAGCAAACAAACACAGAGAGCACAGGUUGAGCUGAGCUGAGCAAACAAACCUACCUCUAUUGCCUUGCUUGAGCUGAGGAAGAAAACUCUGUACCAACCACAGACGAUCCCUACCUCCCAACCACACCAGUGGAGUAACAAACUCUCUGGUUCGCUCCCUCCCUAGACUGUCAGCUGCUUUCUUCAUCUCCAACUACAUAAUCAACCAGCCUCGUGUCCAAGUCCAUUUCUUCAUGGAAAAGGCUUUUGCAAUGGCCGCCAGCCAUGACAAGGCAACUUGGUCGUUGCUGUCUUUGGAGGCUUGCCAGAAAAUCGAAUACAAAAAAAAAAAAAGAAAAAAAAAAGGCAAGAGAGAGGCAGAAGAUGAGAAGUAGUGAAAGAAGAAAAGACAAUGAAAGGGUGGAGGAAAUUGAGAAAGCAACAGGCAAAAGUAGCCAACUUGAUUUUUGCAUUGUGGGCGGCAUUAUUGGUGCUGGCCAACUUGAUUUUUGCAUUGUGGGCGGCAUUAUUGGUGCUGGCCAACUUGCUUCAGUGGAAAGCAAAGCAAAGGAAACAAAAGGCAAAGCGGCAGACCCCAUAAAGGGAAGAAGCUUAAGAUGCAGGUCUAUAGUGCAGGUACAUAAUUAUAUUAUUUUAAUAUUAUAUAAUUAUUAAAGGUGUGCAGGGAUACAGCGAAGCCGAUCGGCCAAUAUCAUAGCGUUAUCCCCACUACUGUGAUAUCAUGUCAUUGUCGAAAGACAAUCACUUGUCUCUGCUUUUUACGUCAUGGAUGGGCAUGUAAGUAAACUGCUAAUUUGAAAUUCAAUUAAAAUUUGAAAUGUGUGUGUUUGCUUUAUUUAAACUGAAUGCCCACCAUCCUGCAACAAUGAAAGGAAUCUUCAGCGUAGGCAGGUGGAUCAUGGAUGGAUAUCAAUUAUUGAUGCUGUAAGUGUAUGUAAGGCAAUAUUUAUUUAAAGUAUGGUGCGAGUUUAUCGUCCA